rnacentral:rRNA from 1 species
GAUGAACGCUGGCGGCGUGCCUAAUACAUGCAAGUCGAGCGAACGGACGAGAAGCUUGCUUCUCUGAUGUUAGCGGCGGACGGGUGAGUAACACGUGGAUAACCUACCUAUAAGACUGGGAUAACUUCGGGAAACCGGAGCUAAUACCGGAUAAUAUUUUGAACCGCAUGGUUCAAAAGUGAAAGACGGUCUUGCUGUCACUUAUAGAUGGAUCCGCGCUGCAUUAGCUAGUUGGUAAGGUAACGGCUUACCAAGGCAACGAUGCAUAGCCGACCUGAGAGGGUGAUAGGCAAAAAUGGAAAUGAGAAAAGGUCGAGAAGCCUACGGGAGGCAGAAGUAGGGAAGAUGAAGCAAGGGGCGAAAGAAUGACGGAGAAAAGAAGCGUGAGUGAUGAAGGUCUGAGGAUCGUAAAACUAUGUUAUUAGGGAAGAACAAAUGUGUAAGUAACUAUGCACGGCUUGAAGGUAACUAAUAAGAAAGAAAAGGCUAAAUACGUG